GUGAUGAUUUUUUAAAAUCAUUUUUAAUUUUUUCAUGUGCCACUCUACUGGCACCUAACUCUAAGCUUGAAGGAAGCCAUGACCUUUGGGACACCAUAUGGGAUGGUGAUGUUGGUGUCCAAAGGAAUUGGGCAAAGUUUCUGCUGAAACACUUAGAAGAUGGAAUCAAGGAAUAUCGACAAAAGCAGCCUACUUACAUCCGAGGCUGCCUCAUGUUCCUCCAGCUGUUCUACAUGGCAUACUUCUACAUGCCAUCAGUCAAUGUUGAAGUGACCAGCCCGCUAGCUGCUGCAUGGACUGACGAUGUAAUGAAACGCCGAUUAGCAGCUGAAAUAUCAACAUUCGGUGGUUAUGGAUAUGUGCAUACACAGGCACAGGAGCGAGCACAAAGCACAGCCAAU